UGUGGUAUCUUUGCACAAAGUGAAUACAUAUGUUACUUUUGUUCAACUUUUUUGUGCAUUGCACGGGUUAGCGACUAAUUGGAUAAAAUUUCUCUGAUUGCCGUCUUUCUCGAUGUCCACAGUAACUCACAGGUCACAGUCAUACCCCCAUGGUUUUGUAUUUGUGUAGAGUGAAAAAGAACCCAUCUGAACAAUUUGCAUAGUAAAGCAAAAUGCUGAGCUUGAGAAGAAGUCUGAUUAGUGUAUGCAAAAUACUCAAUUCCAAUCGAAGCUCCAUUGCUGCCACUUCCCCUCGGGCCCUUUUCAAGCCUCAAUAUUGUUCGGUUUCUGGGUUUUCUUCAAAUACCCAAUCACUGGAUAUUGAUUUCUCAAAAGAAGAGAGCAAGAGACAAUUAUUUAACAGAUUGAUAUAUAGGAGCAAACAACGAGGGUUUUUGGAGUUGGAUUUGGUUCUUGGGAAAUGGGUGGAGGAGCAUAUUCAUUCCAUGGAUGAGAAUGGUAUUAAAGCUCUCGUUCAUGUCCCUGACCUGGGGAGGUGUGCAAGUUCUAUAGUUGAGUGCCAAUUUAGCAUAAACUGAAGUAUUUCUCAGUCUUUAUACUGCUUACAACUUUAUGAUUUCUAUUGGAGAAUAAAUUAUCUUCUAGGGAAGUGGCUUAUUGCCCAGGAGCAACCCCCUGAAGCAGUUGAAAUAAAUCCUGUGUUUACUGCCCUGCAUGACAAGGUUAUGAACAACCUCAACAGCCACUCUGCUCCUGAGACACAAGCCACGCCUGGGCAGCCAUGGGUAAGAGGGUGGGAUGAUAUUAAGGGUCUGUUUGGAUAGAACUUAUUUUGCUGAAACUGAAAACUGAAAAUACUGUAGCAAAAUAAUUUUUAAAUGUGUAAAUAGUGCCGUGGGACCCAUUUUUAAUAAAAAAGUUGAUGAAAAGUGAAGUUUGUGGGUUCAUGAACAGUACAUCAUGGAAGAAA